rnacentral:rRNA from 1 species
UACGUAGGGUGCGAGCGUUGUCCGGAAUUACUGGGCGUAAAGGGCUCGUAGGCGGCCAACUAAGUCGGACGUGAAAUCCCUCGGCUCAACCGGGGAACUGCGUCCGAUACUGGAUGGCUUGAAUCCGGGAGAGGGAUGCGGAAUUCCAGGUGUAGCGGUGAAAUGACGUAGAUAUCUGGAGGAACACCGGUGGCGAAGGCGGCAUCCUGGACCGGCACUGACGCUGAGGCGCGAAAGCUAGGGGAGCAAACGGGGAUUA